GAUGAGCGCUAGCUACAGGCUUAACACAUGCAAGUCGAGGGGCAGCAUGAAGUUUGCUUGCAAACUUUGAUGGCGACCGGCGGAUGGGUGAGUAACGCGUAUCCAACCUGCCCCCUUCCCGGGCACAGCCCUUGGAAACGAGGAUUAACUCCCGAUGGCGUCGCCUUAACGCAUGUUUCGGCGACCAAAUGUUUAAGGAAGGGGAUGGGGAUGCGUCCCAUUAGCUUGUUGGCGGGGUAACGGCCCACCAAGGCUCCGAUGGGUAGGGGUUCUGAGAGGAAGGUCCCCCACACUGGAACUGAGACACGGUCCAGACUCCUACGGGAGGCAGCAGUGAGGAAUAUUGGUCAACGGAGGCAACUCUGAACCAGCCAAGUAGCGUGAGGGACGACUGCCCUACGGGUUGUAAACCUCUUUUGUCGGGGAAUAAACCGCGCCACGUGUGGCGCUCUGCAUGUACCCGCAGAAUAAGGACCGGCUAAUUCCGUGCCAGCCGCCGCGGUAAGAC
rnacentral:rRNA from 1 species